rnacentral:lncRNA from 1 species
GUUCGGUUGAGUCGAUUAAAGAGAGAUUCAUAAAAUUCUUUCGAGAACAGAUACGGUUGGAAGAUUUCGGCUAAUACAGUUCUAAAACUUGAGGAAAACUAUAUACUGUAUAUUUGUAAAUUCAAUAAAAACUCAAUAAAACAUAAAAUAAAUCAAAGGAACUCCAUUCAAAGUGCUCUAAAAGGAAGAGAAGAAUUAGGAAAAAAUAUUUUGGAAAUUAUAUCUAAGAUGUAAAUAAUGAAAAGUGUAUUAAAAUGACAUCCGAUCCAGCAAUUUCGUCUUCUAGUUCAUCAGAAAGGCCGCCUUUGGUUAAGAGCAUUUCACUUAUUGCCUUGGAAUGCAUAGGAAAUGAAAAUGCUGACACAUACGACUUCGAAGCAUAUCUUAAAGUGGUUAAUUGGUUAGAUAAACAUGUUGGUAAUGAGAUCGAAAAACAAACUAGAACGUUUGCCUUCGGAAAAUUAUUUAGUAAACUUAUAACUCGAAUUAAUAAAAAUUUAAGAAAAAAUAGGAUCGCUCCGAAUGAAUGGAAUGAUAAUGAAUAAAGUUAUUAUAUUAAAACAAUAUAUUGUUAAA